rnacentral:rRNA from 1 species
AAUGGCACUGCCCGGUAGCUAAAUGCGGAAGAGAUAAGUGCUGAAAGCAUCUAAGCACGAAACUUGCCCCGAGAUGAGUUCUCCCUGACCCUUUAAGGGUCCUGAAGGAACGUUGAAGACGACGACGUUGAUAGGCCGGGUGUGUAAGCGCAGCGAUGCGUUGAGCUAACCGGUACUAAUGAACCGUGAGGCUUAACCUUAC